rnacentral:rRNA from 1 species
CUGCCGGCGACCGGCGCACGGGUGAGUAACACGUAUGCAACCUGCCCUCCGCAGGGGGAUAACCCGGAGAAAUCCGGACUAAUACCGCGUGGUACACCAGUGGGGCAUCCCACGGGUGUUAAAAGGAAGCGAUUCCGGCGGAGGAUGGGCAUGCGGCGCAUUAGCUUGUUGGCGGGGUAACGGCCCACCAAGGCGACGAUGCGUAGGGGUUCUGAGAGGAAGGUCCCCCACACUGGUACUGAGACACGGUCCAAACUCCUACGGAAGGCAGCAG